CGAAACGACAUGAAGAGCCGGUCUACAUCUUUCUUCGUUCGUUCGUGAGGUAGAGUGCGGCGUCCGUUUGCGAGCGCCUAGGGCAUCGCUUCUUGCCUUCGUUCCUCCGGUGCUCGAGCUGCUAGCUGCUCCGGUUAGGAGAGGACUUGGCGAGUUGGCGUUUAGAGGCGUUCUUCCUGUGCUCAGGCAUCAGUUAUGUUCGUGAAGCCUCUUGAUGGGUAUAUUAUUAUUAUACAGGUUGCAUGCUUGUUUUUCCAGGUUCCGGCUCCCAUACACUAUGCAAAAUUAACUGGUUUUAGUAUCAAUUGAGAGGCCUUACAAGGAACAAGGAACAUGGUUAUGCAUUUCGGAUAUGGUUAUAAGUUAUAACUAGGCUUCUCGUAUCGUACAAGGUGCAGUCAUUGUGCAUUUCCAGUAAUGAGAGUAGCUCUGAUUUUUGCUUUAACUAUUAGAGCUAUAUUGUCAAAUAUCUCAGUGAUCCUAAGCAGCCUACUGGAAUAGAUGCAAUCAAACUUAUUGAACAGAAAGGCAGUAUGCGGUUGUCUGCUUCACUACAAAAUCUGCUGACAUAUACUACAGUAAAUCCUGGAGAAUGUGAUUCUGUGACAGAGAGAAGUUAUAACGGUAUCAAAUCUUCACGUGUUUUACAAAGAGAAGGUGCAGCUUCAAGCUUUUCAAAGGAGAAAUCCUUAUCAGCUUCUACAUUGAUAUCUAAGCAAUGGAUACGAGCAAGCAUAUGUUUUUCUUUGCUUCUCCUAUUGUUUUUGUUUAUGUACGCCUGCUCAAUAUAUUAUAGGAAAUCUUUCCAACAUGUGACAUCCAAGUAUUAUGUUAUUCUUGAUUGUGGAAGUACUGGCACUAGAGUGUAUGUUUAUCAGAACUCAAUGGUUCAGGAUAAAGGUGAUAGAGUCUUACCAUUUUCAUUAAAAUCUUUACCCGAAGGGUUUCAAAAUAAAGCCAUUGGUCAAAGUGGUCGUGCUUAUCGACGGAUGGAAACUGAGCCGGGUUUUCAUAAACUUGUACACAAUGAGACCGGCUUGAGGGCUGCCAUCAAACCACUUCUAAAGUGGGCUGAGAAGCAAAUACCCAGUCAUGCUCACCAAACUACAACCCUCUUUCUAUAUGCUACAGCUGGGGUUCGUCGUCUGCCAAACUCUGAUUCACAAUGGCUUCUAGACAAGGCAUGGGCUAUUCUAAAGAAUUCUUCAUUCUUGUGCCACAGAGAAUGGGUCAAGAUCAUUACGGGAAUGGAGGAGGCUUACUAUGGAUGGGUAGCUCUUAACCAUGACAAAGGCAUGUUGGGAUUGUCACCAGCUAAAGGAACAUUUGGUUCGCUUGAUCUAGGUGGUUCAUCAUUGCAAGUAACUUUUGAAAUAGACAGACCUGUUUAUGAUGGGACAGGCAUAAAUUUGAGCUUGGGAGCUGUUAACCAUCAUUUGAGUGCAUAUUCGCUGCCUGGCUAUGGACUCAAUGAUGCAUUUGAUAAAUCUGUUUUUCAUCUUUUCAAAAGGCUGGCAAGAAGUAACAAACUUGCCUUGAUUAAUGAAAAAAUAGAGCUUGGGCAUCCAUGCUUACAAACUGGUUAUAGGGAAGAAUACUUUUGUUUCCAGUGUGCUAUGGUAAACUCUGAGGGAAGCCCUCUGACUGGAGGUAGAGCUGUGGGAAAAAGUGCUGCUGGAUUGCCCAUUACGUUGUUUGGUGCUCCGCAAUGGGAGGAAUGCAGUGCACUUGCAAAGCAAACAGUCAGCCGAUCUGAAUGGUCAGACUUAAGCCCAUCAAUUGACUGCAAAGUCAAACCUUGUGCUCUUAGUGACAGCUUACUUCAGCCACAUGGAAAAUUUUAUGCCACUUCCGGUUUUUUUGUAGUCUUCCGAUUUUUUAAUUUAACCUCUGACGCUUCCUUGAAUGAUGUGCUACAACGAGGUCAGGAGUUUUGUGCAAAAACUUGGGAUGCUGCAAGGAGAAGCGUCUCCCCGCAGCCUUUUAUAGAACAGUAUUGCUUCAGAGCUCCAUAUAUAGUCUCUCUCUUAAGGGAUGGGUUGCAUAUUGAAGAUGAGGAUGUUUUCGUUGGCUCUGGUAGCAUCACAUGGACUUUGGGUGUUGCCUUGUUGGAAGCUGGGCAAGCAUUUUCAAGCAGAGUUGACCUGGGCUUCAGAAUCCUGCGGACAGAUAUAAGUCCUAGUGUUCUUCUUCUAUUAGUUUUGAUGUCAGUUACUGUGCUUUUCUGUGCACUCAAUUGUGUGAGCAACCCAGUCACAAGAAUUUGGCAGCGUCCUUGUCUUCCGUUAUUUAGACGUAAUAGUUCAGCUUCCUUAGCAAGGGGCAUCCCUUCUCCUUUUGGCUUGCCAAGAUGGAUUUCUAUUAACACAGGUGAUGGAAGAACUAAGAUGCCACUAAGUCCUACUGUUGCUGGCUCUGAACAACAUCCUUUUGGCGCUGGGUAUGUGCUGAGUGGUGGCAGCAUUCAGUUUGGUGAACCGUCUUCACAGCCGUUGGGAUUUUCACAUAGUAUUUCCUCUGGAAGCUUGGUUCAGUUACAAUUUGGUGAUGGAACUAGGUCGUUCUGGGCUCCUAACAGGGGCCAAAUGCUUCAGAGUAGGAGAUCCCAAUCCAGAGAAGACCUUAGUUCUUCGGUUGAGGCUCAUAUGGUGAAAGUUUAGUAUACACAGAUUACUAGCCAGGUAUGACCAUUUCAACAAACCAAGCCUCCAAAUGCUGCAUAUACAGAUGAUGGGAGUAUUCUUUUAAGCCUUAAUUACUCAGGUGCAUGCUUUUUAACAAACGGAGCUUCAAUGCUGGCACAAAUAAAUAAACAAAUAUAACGGUGCUUCCAAGUAGCUAUAUCCACUGGUAAUGGUGGUGAUAUUGCUAAACAUAUUGAUUGUAAUUCUUCUCAAGUUUCAUGAUUGUAAGGUCUCUUUUGUGAACUACAGAACUCGGUGUUACAGAUUGCCCAGAAGGUUUGCGACUUUUCUAGCCUGUGCACAAAAAUUCCUUUACUUUCUCCGAAAGCUUUUUCUCUGCGAUCAGAUUUUUGUAUGAAUCGAAAGAAUUUGCUUCAAAUUCUUUAAAGACUCGAAAUCGUGGCAUUGUAAUAAAAGGUUAUCUGCCUAAUGAAUUUGUAUCUAAUGGAAGAUUUUGUUUUUUGUUUUUUUAA